rnacentral:rRNA from 1 species
UCAAAUAACUAAAGGUUUACGGUGGAUACCUAGGCAUUCAGAGACGAAGAAGGGCGUGGCAACCAACGAAAUACUUCGAGGAGCUGGAAACAAGCAAAGAAUCGAAGAUUCCCUAAUAGGGCAACCUCAAAGAACUACUUAUUGAAUUCAUAAAUAAGAAAGAGAGAACCCGGUGAAUUGAAACAUCUUAGUAGCCGGAGGAAAAGAAAGCAAAAGCGAUUCCCAUAGUAGCGGCGAGCGAAUUGGGAACAGCCUAAACCGAGUGAUUCUUUGUAUUCACUCGGUGUCGUGGGAGGAGAUUUGUGGGUAGACCGCAAGUAGACCUGUAGCUAGGCAGAGGAAGCAGCUGAGUCCUGCACCAUAGAUGGUUAUAGUCCAGUACUUUAAACCUAGCUUAGUUUAUUAUCUUUAAUCCCAAGUAGCAUGGGGCACGUGAAAUCCCGUGUGAAUCUACGAGGACCACCUCGCAAGGCUAAAUACUCCUGAAUGACCGAUAGCGAAAUAGUACCGCGAGGGAAAGGUGAAAAAGAACCUUGGCCAAGGAGUGAAAAAGAACAUGAAACCGUGAUCUGACAAGCGGUGGGAGAGGUUUGACCUUGACCGCGUGCCUGUGGAAGAAUGAGCCGGCGACUUAUAGGGGGUGGCUUGGUUAAGGACUACAAUCCGAAGCCCAAGCGAAAGCAAGUUUGAAGUGUACACACAUUGUGUGUCUAGAGCGAUUUUGUCACUCCUUAUGGACCCGAACCCGAGUGAUCUAGCUAUGGCCAGGAUGAAGCUUGGGUAACACCAAGUGAAGGUCCGAACUCAUCGAUGUUGAAAAAUCGUGGGAUGAGCUGUAGAUAGGGGUGAAAUGCCAAUCGAACUCGGAGCUAGCUGGUUCUCCCCGAAAUGUGUUGAGGCGCAGCGAUUCACGACCUAAAGUACGGUUUAGGGGUAAAGCACUGUUUCGGUGCGGGCUGUUAACGCGGUACCAAAUCGUGGCAAACUAAGAAUACUAAACUUGUAUACCGUGAAUCAGUGAGACAGUGGGGGAUAAGCUUCAUUGUCAAGAGGGAAACAGCCCAGAUCACCAGCUAAGGCCCCAAAAUGACAGCUAAGUGGCAAAGGAGGUGAGAGUGCAGAAACAACCAGGAGGUUUGCUUAGAAGCAGCCAUCCUUUAAAGAGUGCGUAAUAGCUCACUGGUGGAGCGCUCUUGCGCCGAAAAUGUAUGGGACUAAGUUGUCUGCCGAAGCUGUGGGAUAUUAGUCUUUUUGGUAGGGGAGCGUUCUGCUGUAGGUUGAAGCGUAUCUGUAAAGAUGUGUGGACGAGGCAGAAGUGAGAAUGUCGGCUUGAGUAACGCAAACAAUGGUGUGAAUCCAUUGCCCCGAAAACCUAAGGGUUCCUUUACUAGGUUCGUCCAUGAAGGGUUAGUCAGGUCCUAAGAUUAGGCCGAAAGGCGUCGUCGAUGGGAAACAGGUCAAUAUUCCUGUACUACUUGUUAUAUAUGAACUGAGGGACGAAGAAGGCAGCCACACAACAGAUUGGAUCUGUUGAGAGACGGUAGAGGUGAUGAAAGAUAGAACAAAAACUAUUCUUGAGCUAAACCGCGUUAUGUCCUUGUCCCUGAUAAUUCUUCGGAGUUAUCAAGCAAGGUGUGUGUCUACUGCCAUACUUCCAAGAAAAGCUCGAGCUUCUUUAUUAUGACAGUAUCUGUACCCGAAUCCGACACAGGUAGGUUAGUAGAGUAUACUAAGGGGCGCGAGAUAACUCUCUCUAAGGAACUCGGCAAAAUAGCCCCGUAACUUCGGAAGAAGGGGUGCCUCUGAAAGGAGGUCGCAGUGAGCAGGCCCAGGCGACUGUUUACCAAAAACACAGGUCUCCGCUAAGUCGUAAGACAACGUAUGGGGGCUGACGCCUGCCCGGUGCUGGUAGGUGAAGGAAGUUGGUUAUUUGUUUCGAUAGAGAAGCUGACGACCGAAGCCCCAGUGAACGGCGGCCAUAACUAUGAUGGUCCUAAGGUAGCGAAAUUCCUUGUCUGGUAAGUUCAGACCCGCAUGAAAGGCGUAACGAUCUGGGUACUGUCUCGGAGAGAGACUCGGUGAAAUAGACAUGUCUGUGAAGAUGCGGACUACUUACACCCGGACAGAAAGACCCUAUGAAGCUUUACUAUAACUUGACAUUGACUUUGGGCUCCUUUUGCGCAGUCUAGGUGGGAGGCUUUGAUAUCUUGUUUCCGGGCAAGAUGGAGCCAUUUUUGAGAGACCACUCUGAAAGAGCUAAAAUUCUAAUAGUGUUCCUUGAAUCAGGACACUUAACAGUGUCAGGCGGGUAGUUUUUCUGGGGCGGAAACCUCCUAAAAAGUAACGGAGGUGCGCAAAGGUUCCCUCAGGCUGGACGGAAAUCAGCUGUAGAGUGUAAAGGCAUAAGGGAGCUUGACUGCAAGACCUACAAGUCGAGCAGGGGCGAAAGCCGGCCUUAGUGAUCCGACGGUACCGCGUGGAAGGGCCGUCGCUCAACGGAUAAAAGUUACUCUAGGGAUAACAGGCUGAUCUUCCCCAAGAGUCCACAUCGACGGGAAGGUUUGGCACCUCGAUGUCGGCUUAUCAUAUCCUAGAGCGGUAGUACGUUCUAAGGGUCGGGCUGUUCGCCCGUUAAAAUGGUACGUGAGCUGGGUUCAGAACGUUGUGAAACAGUUUGGUCCAUAUCCGGUGUAAGCGUUAGAGUAUUGAGAGAAGCUUUCCUUAGUACGAGAGGACUGGGAAGGACGCACCUCUGGUGUGCCAGUUAUUCCGCCAGGAGUAAACGCUGGGUAGCCAUGUGCGGAGCGGAUAACUGCUGAAAGCAUCUAAGUAGGAAGCCCAUCUCAAGAUGAGUACUCUCUGCAAAGAUUUUUUUGCAGUAGGCCACAGUAAGACAAACUGUUUGAUAGGUGUCAAGUGUAAGAUCAGCAAUGGUUUCAGCUGAGGCACACUAACAGGCCUAGUGAGUUUGA